rnacentral:rRNA from 1 species
UACGUAGGGUGCGAGCGUUAAUCGGAAUUACUGGGCGUAAAGCGUGCGCAGGCGGUUUUGUAAGCCAGAUGUGAAAUCCCCGGGCUUAACCUGGGAAUGGCAUUUGGGACUGCAAGGCUCGAGUGCGGCAGAGGAGACUGGAAUUCCUGGUGUAGCAGUGAAAUGCGUAGAUAUCAGGAGGAACACCGAUGGCGAAGGCAGGUCUCUGGGCUGACACUGACGCUCAUGCACGAAGGCCAGGGGAGCAAACGGG